rnacentral:rRNA from 1 species
GACGAACGCUGGCGGCGUGCUUAACACAUGCAAGUCGAACGGUGAAGCGCCUUCCUUUUUGGUGGGUGUGGAGGAGUGGCGGAGGGGUGAGUAACACGUUAGUAACCUGCCCCGUUCUGCUGGAUAACCGCAUGAAAGUGUUGCUAAUACGGGAUAUUCUGGGUCGGUCGCAUGAUGGGUCAGGGAAGGAUUUUGUUUCGGUGGUGGAUGGGCUCGCGGCCUAUCAGCUUGUUGGUGAGGUGAUGGCCUACCAAGGCGGUGACGGGUAGCCGGCCUGAGAGGGUGGACGGCCACGCUGGGACUGAGCGACGGCCAAGCCUACGACGGGAGGCAGCAGGGAGGAAUAUUGCAUGAUGGGAGCCAGGAUGAUGCAGCGACGCCGCGGGAGGGAUGGAGGUCUGCGGGUUGUGAACUUCUUUCGGGAGUGAAGCAGGCCUGCCGUGUUUGUGGGUGGGUUGACGGUAGCUGGACAAGAAGCGCCGGCUAACUACGUG